rnacentral:rRNA from 1 species
UACGGGGGAGCAAGCGUUGUUCGGAUUUACGUGGCGUAAAGGGCGCGUAGGCGGCCUCUGCAAGUCGAACUGUGUAAAUCUCCGGGCUUAAACCCGGAAAGGUCAGCCGAUACUGCAGGGCUAGAGUGCAGAAGGGGCAACUGGAAUUCUCGGUGUAGCGGUGAAAUGACGUAGAUAUCGAAGAGGAACACCUGCGGCGAAGGCGGGUUGCUGGGCUGACACUGACGCUGAAGUGCGAAAGCUAGGGGAGCGAACGGG